rnacentral:rRNA from 1 species
ACUCAAAUGAAUUGACGGGGGCCCGCACAAGCAGCGGAGCGUGUGGUUUAAUUCGACGCAACGCGAAGCACCUCACCUAGGUUGGACAUGGCCCUGCAAGCGCACCGAAAGGUGUGACCUUCGAGGGUGGGCCACAGAUGCUGCAUGGCUGUCGUCAGCUCGUGUCGUGAGAUGUUGGGUUCAGUCCCGCAACGAGCGCAACCCUCGCCCGUAGUUACCGGUGUCUGCGGGGACAGCCGCCCGCGAGGGCGGAGGAAGGCGGGGAUGACGUCAAGUCCGCAUGGCUCUUACGCCUAGGGCGACACACACGCUACAAUGGUCAGCGCAGUGCGCGGCGACGGGGCAACCCGGAGCAAAUCGAGAAAGCUGACCCAAGUGCAGAUCGGGGGCUGCAACUCGCCCCCGUGAAGGCGGAGUUGCUAGUAACCGCGUAUCAGCCACGGCGCGGUGAAUACGUACCCGGGCCUUGUACACACCGCCCGU